rnacentral:lncRNA from 1 species
CAGUCGAUCUGGACGCGAGAAUCAACAAACAAAAAACAUGAAAGACGCUAGUCGGCUCGUUGCACCCCUCGGUGGGAAAUUUCAGUUUAAGAGAAACCCAGACGGAACCAUAGACCGACAAAAACACUUCAGCUAACGCGUCGCCCUCCGUUCCACAAACCACCUUCAUGGAACAUCAGCACCCCAAUCCAACCAAAGUUGAGCUAAAUGACGAUGGAAACAACGCAACAUUAGAAAAAUACAUCAAAGAGGAAGAAGGAGAAGAAGAAGAAGGAGAAGAAGAAAGCCCUACUGAGCCCGAGGCCCACCCGGAGGCCCCCACCACAACCGAAGAAUUAAAUUCAAAUUCAGUCGGAGAUAUAACAAUGAGGUGGCUCCACAAAAGAAAGUUAGAGCUCGACAUUGAACACAAAAAACUACAAAUUAAAAUAGCAAAGGUGGAGCUGGAGAAACUGGAACUUGAAAAGAUGGAAUGGGAGAGGUGGAACUGCAACGGUUACUGAAAUACUAACGACUGAAAGAAAUAAAACAUUUUGUUUAACUGAAAAACUGCAGUGUUAUUGUAUCUCUGACAGCCACCCGCACAGGGUGAUCAAGGGACAUGGGCUCCACCACAUAAGGGAGAGGGAGGUCAGUGGGUGGGGAGGUUCCUCUCCUUCACAACAGAAAUAUUGUGUAGGACAACACAUGAAGUGAAGCACCACUCUCAGCCCUCUCAGGCAGUUGAA